rnacentral:rRNA from 1 species
UACAGGGGGUGCAAACGUUGCUCGGAAUCAUUGGGCGUAAAGCGCACGUAGGCGGUUCGUUAUGUCGGAUGUGAAAGCCCUUGGCUUAACCGAGGAAGUGCAUCCGAAACUGGCGAGCUAGAGUACGAAAGAGGAUCGCGGAAUUCCCGGUGUAGAGGUGAAAUUCGUAGAUAUUCGCAAGAACACCAGUGGCGAAGGCGGCUCACUGGCCCGAUACUGACGCUGAGGUGCGAAAGCGUGGGGAGCAAACAGG